GGUUGUGAUCAUACCAGCACUAAUGCACCGGAUCCCAUCAGAACUUCGUAGUUAAGCGUGCUUGGGCGAGAGUGGUACUAGGAUGGGUGACCCCCUAGGGAGGUCCUCGUGUUGCAACCC
rnacentral:rRNA from 1 species